GGUAAGAUUGGAUACUCUCACCACAAAUUGUGUGAGGUAGACAAUGUUAUUU
rnacentral:pre_miRNA from 1 species